UCUCCUGCUGACCACUCAUUGUUGUUCCAGCACUGUGACAGCUGUGAUAAAUGCCCCUGUGAGGAAGGAGACAAGUCUGAACACUGCGAUGACUGCAAGAUGUGCUCUUUCUGCAAUGUGUGUCCUCUCUGUGAAACAGCUUGCAAGCCUGGAGGGUUUGUUGAUGAAGUUACUGGAUCAAUCUAUAAGACUGUAGCAGAUGUCUUUGAUGAUGGUGAUGACAACUGAAUCCAGCCAUAUGCUGCCACCAUGUGGCCAAGUUUAUACAUUUCACCUUCAUAUUGGAUUCCUUUCAUUCUCUUCACAUUUGAUUAAUAAUAAACUGAAGGAGAAACAA